GGUGAGGAACACUGCAGUGAUGUUUUACAGUAAGACAGGUGAGGAACACUGCAGUGAUGUUUUACAGUAAGACAGGUGAGGAACACUGCAGUGAUGUUUUACAGUAAGCCAGGUGGGGAACACUGCAGUGAUGUUUUACAGUAAGCCAGGUGAGGAACACUGCAGUGAUGUUUUACAGUAAGCCAGGUGAGGAACACUGCAGUGAUGUUUUACAGUAAGCCAGGUGAGGAACACUGCAGUGAUGUUUUACAGUAAGCCAGGUGAGGAACACUGCAGUGAUGUUUUACAGUAAGCCAGGUGAGGAACACUGCAGUGAUGUUUUACAGUAAGCCAGGUGAGGAACACUGCAGUGAUGUUUUACAGUAAGCCAGGUGAGGAACACUGCAGUGAUGUUUUACAGUAAGCCAGGUGAGGAACACUGCAGUGAUGUUUUACAGUAAGCCAGGUGAGGAACACUGCAGUGAUGUUUUACAGUAAGCCAGGUGAGGAACACUGCAGUGAUGUUUUACAGUAAGCCAGGUGAGGAACACUGCAGUGAUGUUUUACAGUAAGCCAGGUGAGGAACACUGCAGUGAUGUUUUACAGUAAGCCAGGUGAGGAACACUGCAGUGAUGUUUUACAGUAAGCCAGGUGAGGAACACUGCAGUGAUGUUUUACAGUAAGCCAGGUGAGGAACACUGCAGUGAUGUUUUACAGUAAGCCAGGUGAGGAACACUGCAGUGAUGUUUUACAGUAAGCCAGGUGAGGAACACUGCAGUGAUGUUUUACAGUAAGCCAGGUGGGG